GGUUUUGUAGUGUAGUGGUGAACACGUCUGCUUCACAUGCAGAAGGUCCUGGGUUUGAUCCCCAAUGGAGCCA